rnacentral:rRNA from 1 species
GAUGAACGCUAGCUACAGGCCUAACACAUGCAAGUCGAGGGGAAACGGGAAAGCAGCUUGCUGCUUUCUGUCGUCGACCGGCGCACGGGUGAGUAACGCGUAUCCAACCUUCCCAUAACUAAGGGAUACCCCGUAGAAAUGCGGCCUAAUACCUUAUGUACUCCCAUGACGGCAUCAGAGUGGGAGCAAAGAAUUUCGGUUAUGGAUGGGGAUGCGUCUGAUUAGCUUGCUGGCGGGGUAACGGCCCACCAGGGCAUCGAUCAGUAGGGGUUCUGAGAGGAAGGUCCCCCACAUUGGAACUGAGACACGGUCCAAACUCCUACGGGAGGCAGCAGUGAGGAAUAUUGGUCAAUGGGCGGAAGCCUGAACCAGCCAAGUAGCGUGCAGGAAGACGGCCCUAUGGGUUGUAAACUGCUUUUACAGGGGAAUAAAGUGAUUCACGUGUGUUUCAUUGCAUGUACCCUGCGAAUAAGGACGGCU